rnacentral:rRNA from 1 species
AGUGAACGCUGGCGGUAGGCCUAACACAUGCAAGUCGAACGGCAGCACAGUAAGAGCUUGCUUUUACGGGUGGCGGGUGGAGGACGGUUGAGGAAUACAGAGGAAUCUACUUUUUAGUGGGGGAUAACGUAGGGAAACUAACGCUAAUACCGCAUACGACCUACGGGUGAAAGCAGGGCAUCUUCGGACUUUGCGCGAUUGAAUGAUCCGAUGUCGGAUUAGUCAGUUGGCGGGGUAAAGGCCCACCAAGGCGACGAUACGUAGCUGGUCUGAGAGGAUGAUCAGCCACACGGGAACGGGGAAACGCUCCAGACUCCUGCGGGAGGCAGCGGCGAGGAAUAUAGGACAAUGGGCGCAGGCCUGAACCAGCCAUACCGCGUAGGUCAAGAAGGCCUACGGCUUGUAAAGCACGUUUGUUGGGAAAGAAAAGCAGCAUUUUAAUACCCCCCUGUUCUGACGGUACCCAAAGAAUAAGCACCGGCUAACUUCGUG